rnacentral:rRNA from 1 species
AGAGGGUGCAAGCGUUGUUCGGAAUUACUGGGCGUAAAGCGCGCGCAGGCGGAUCCUGUAAGUCGGAAGUGAAAUUUCGGAGCUCAACUCCGAAGCUGCUUCUGAUACUGCGGAUCUGGAGACCGGUAGAGGUCGGUGGAAUUACAGGUGUAGCGGUGGAAUGCGUAGAUAUCUGUAAGAACACCCGUGGCGAAGGCGGCCGACUGGGCCGGAUCUGACGCUGAGGCGCGAAAGCGUGGGGAGCAAACAGGAUUAGAUACCCUGGUAGUCCACGCCGUAAACGAUGGGCACUAGGUGCCGGGGGGAGCGACCCCUUCGGUGCCGCAGCUAACGCGAUAAGUGCCCCGCCUGGGGAGUACGGCCGCAAGGCUG